UACGAAGGGGGCUAGCGUUGCUCGGAAUCACUGGGCGUAAAGCGCACGUAGGCGGACUCUUAAGUCGGUGGUGAAAUCCUGGAGCUCAACUCCAGAACUGCCUUUGAUACUGAAGAUCUUGAGUUCGGGAGAGGUGAGUGGAACUGCGAGUGUAGAGGUGAAAUUCGUAGAUAUUCGCAAGAACACCAGUGGCGAAGGCGGCUCACUGGCCCGAUACUGACGCUGAUGCACGAAAAGCGUGGGGGAGCAAACAGG
rnacentral:rRNA from 1 species